rnacentral:rRNA from 1 species
GACGAACGUUGGCGGCGUGCUUAAUACAUGCAAGUCAACUGAAGCAGUGGUAGCAAUAUCGCUGUGGAGGUGGCGCACGGGUGGGUAACACGUAGGUAAUCUGCCUUCAGGUCUGGCAUAACUCCGGGAAACCGGGGCUAAUAGCAGAUGAUGCAGCGGCUCGACAUCGAGACAGUUGUUAAAGCUAUGGCGCCUGAAGAUGAGCCUGCGUCUGAUUAGCUAGUUGGCGGGGUAACGGCCCACCAAGGCAACGAUCAGUAGCUGGUCUGAGAGGAUGAUCAGCCACACUGGAACUGAGACACGGUCCAGACUCCUACGGGAGGCAGCAGUAAGGAAUAUUGCUCAAUGGGAGAAAUCCUGAAGCAGCAACGCCGCGUGAGGGACGAAGGGCUUUUGCUUGUAAACCUCUGUAGUGAGAGAAAAAAAUCCCAAUCUUUGGGACAUGAUGGUAGCUCAAAAGUAAGCCCCGGCUAACUACGUG